rnacentral:rRNA from 1 species
UACAGAGGGUGCGAGCGUUAAUCGGAAUUACUGGGGCGUAAAAGCGUGCGUAGACGGCUAUCUAAGUCGGGGUGUGAAAGCCCCCGGGCUCAACCUGGGAAUUGCAUUCGAGACUGAAUAGCUAGGGUGCGGUAGAGGGAAGCGGAAUUUCCGGUGUAGCGGGUGAAAUGCGUAGAUAUCGGGAGGAACACCAGUGGCGAAGGCGGCUUCCUGGCCUGUUCGUUGACGCUGGACGGCGCGAAAGCUAGGGGAGCAAACGGGAUUAGAA